rnacentral:rRNA from 1 species
GACGAACGCUGGCGGCGUGCUUAACACAUGCAAGUCGAACGGAAAGGCCCUGCUUUUGUGGGGUGCUCGAGUGGCGAACGGGUGAGUAACACGUGAGUAACCUGCCCUUGACUUUGGGAUAACUUCAGGAAACUGGGGCUAAUACCGGAUAGGAGCUCCUGCUGCAUGGUGGGGGUUGGAAAGUUUCGGCGGUUGGGGAUGGACUCGCGGCUUAUCAGCUUGUUGGUGGGGUAGUGGCUUACCAAGGCUUUGACGGGUAGCCGGCCUGAGAGGGUGACCAGCCACAUUGGGACUGAGAGACGGCCCAGACUCCUACGGGAGGCAGCAGUGGGGAAUAUUGCACAAUGGGCGGAAGCCUGAUGCAGCAACGCCGCGUGCGGGAUGACGGCCUUCGGGUUGUAAACCGCUUUCGCCUGUGACGAAGCGUGAGUGACGGUAAUGGGUAAAGAAGCACCGGCUAACUACGUG